rnacentral:rRNA from 1 species
CACGCAGUAAACGAUGAUUACUGGCUGUUUGCGAUACAAUGUAAGCGGCUGAGCGAAAGCGUUAAGUAAUCCACCUGGGGAGUACGUUCGCAAGAAUGAAACUCAAAGGAAUUGACGGGG